UACGGAGGGAGCUAGCGUUGUUCGGAAUUACUGGGCGUAAAGCGCGCGUAGGCGGCUUUGUAAGUUAGAGGUGAAAGCCCGGGGCUCAACCCCGGAACUGCCUUUAAGACUGCAUCGCUUGAAUCCAGGAGAGGUGAGUGGAAUUCCGAGUGUAGAGGUGAAAUUCGUAGAUAUUCGGAAGAACACCAGUGGCGAAGGCGACACGCUGGGCCGUACCUGACACUGAUGCGCGACAGCAUGGGGAGCAAACAGG
rnacentral:rRNA from 1 species